UGAAAGUACCCGCAUCAACCAACAGGAAGCUAGCUCUACGUUUCGAAGUCCAGAGAUUUCCUAUAGGCGGGUUCACAACAACAUUAGAGCUUCGGAGGCAAUAGAACGCGGAAGUAAAUUUACAAUAGUAAAGGAGCUAAACCAAAUCGAAAAAAGUAUUGUAUCUAGUGUAGGCCUAUUAUUCUCAUAAACGUAGCUAUAAUAAUACGUUUAGUAGAUUUAGUGAAGUGACGCUGGAGUAUUAUGAACGCGGAAUUGGAAGAACAGGAGGAUGAACUGCUGGCGCUCGCGAGUAUCUACAGUCAGGAGUUCAGACGGGCUGUGUCAGGAUUGGGUGGGGAAAUCCAGGUCUCUUUGGACCUUCCUCGGGACUUCAGUGUGAUUGUCAAAGCAGGUGACAAGCACAGAGAUUAUGUCAUAUCUUUCCUCCCUCCUCUGGUGUUGACCUUCGACCUACCUUUGGAUUACCCCUCCACCUCAUCACCCAAGUUUAUACUGAGCUGUAUGUGGCUCUCCCAUAGUCAGCUCUCAGCAGUGUGUAAGCAUUUGGAUGAGAUAUGGGAGGACACUGUGGGCAGUGUGGUCCUCUUCUACUGGGUCCAGUUCCUCAGAGACGACCUGCUUGACUUCCUGAAUAUCCGGCCACCGCUGGAGAUCCCUGUCAAUGACCAGGGCCAAGCCACUCCAUCUACUGAGGGCAGCGAGGCUGGAGACUCUCAGGGGGAACCAGAAGGAAUUGUAGUUGAAACCUCUGAUGAGGCUGCAGUGUCCCUGGACCCAAGGGCCCUGUCAAUGUUAGCCACAGACACAGACCUCCUGGUGCAUCUGCUGGACUAUGAUGAGAGACAGAGGCUGAGAGUGUUCGAGGGACAGGCAUAUGACUGUGGGAUCUGCUUCAUGAGCAAGUUAGGCUGUAGUCAGUACAGAGAGUGCGGCCAUAUUUAUUGCAACGAAUGCAUGUCGGAGUACUUCACGGUCCAGAUCAGAGACGGGAACGUCCGUGGCCUUACCUGUCCAGAGCCUGAGUGCAGCUCCACAGCUACACCCUCACAGGUGAAGCGGUUGGUUGGGGAGGAGUUAUUCACCCGUUACGACCGCCUCCUGCUCCAGUCCACUCUGGACCGCAUGGCUGACGUGAUUUACUGCGCCCGCAAGGCCUGUGUUGCCCCAGUGGUGCUGGAACCGGACACAACCGCUGCCCUCUGCCCUUCUUGCCGCUAUGCCUUCUGCACUAUCUGUCGCAAGACCUACCAUGGCACCUCCUACUGUAAACUGAGGGCAAACACACUCCUGGCCUCAGGCUCUGACUCAGCUGCUGAGUCAUCCUAUGCAGGUGUACCUCAGACGGAGGGUAAGAGAAACCAUUCAGUCUGGGCUCCAGGGCCUAUGGGAAGAUUAUGCCUCAGGCAGUGAGGAGAGGAGAAUGUUCCUGGAGAAACGCUAUGGGAAACACAUUCUCAACACAGUGGUGGAGGAGAGCCUGAGUGAAGGCUGGAAAGGCCAGAACAGCAAAAAAUGUCCAUCCUGCCGUGCCAACAUACAGAAGACCGGUGGCUGUAACAAGAUGGCCUGUUUCACCUGUGGUCAGUACUUCUGCUGGGUGUGCCUUAGUAUCCUGGACAAAAAUAACCCCUACAAGCACUAUGAAAACCCUAACACUACCUGCUAUAAUGCCACAUUUGACUGACAGUAACGUUGGGCUACUGUUCGAUAACCCUGUGCAUGUUAUUUUACAGCUCAAGUUCAGGUCAAAUCAUAUUUAUAGUCAAUGCUAUCAGAUUACUAUAUGAGGUUUCUAAAAUCUUAGGCAUGUAACAAAACCUGCUGCUCAAAUACCUUGACCCGUUUGUUUCCUGGUGCACCUAAGUGCAACUCAACCAAGGUUAUGUAUGAACGCAAUAAAAUAUAACCUCACAGAAAUGCAGGCUUUUUCAGACCCUUGAAAAGUGCUUCUUACAGUUCUUUAACACAUUUAAAGCUUUCUUUAAGAUUUACCUCAGUCUUUGGCCAAAUAUGCAGUCAAUAAUGAAGCUUCAUUCUAUGCUUCAAUAUAGUGUACAUCAGGGCUCUCCAACCCUGUUCCUGAAGAGCUACCGUCCAGUAGGUUUUUGCUCUAACCCUAAUCUAGCACACCUGAUUCUAAUAAUUAGCUGGUUGAUAAACUGAAUCAGGUUAGUUACAUCUGAGGUUGAAGCGAAAACCUACAGGAGGGUAGCACUCCAGGAACAUGGUUGGCGAACCCUGAUGUACAUUAAUAGCUUUAAAAAUAAGACUUUUCUCUGUGUCAAGCAUCACAACAAUACAUAUUUUCAAAAGUCUAAAAGCUAAUGUUGAUGGAUUCUUGCAGUAUCUGUAUGUCAUUUUUCAUGUUCACAACAAUGUCCCUGUAAUAAUAAAUGUUUAUGACCUCUGGAUUCUCGCAAA